rnacentral:lncRNA from 1 species
UUCUUUCUUCACACCAUUUCGAAUUCAUAAUCCUUUCUAUGAAUGCCGAAAUAGCGGGAACACUUUUGUUUUUAAUACUUUUGGUUUUGUGUAUGUGAAAAUCGUAAGUCUUCAAAUACGGAGAACACAUAAACUUUUUAAAAUUUACCUUGCAAUCGCACUAUACGUAGGUUAUAGGUAUUUUGAAAGUUUCGGAACUAUUACGCUACAAAUUAUUAUCACGCUACGGAAGCUUACAGAACGCACCCAACAAA